rnacentral:lncRNA from 1 species
ACAAAUCUUACACAGUUAGAAGAACUUGACAUAUCUGACAAUUUUCUUACUGGUUCUCUCCCAUAUAACUUCCAUCAAUUAACCAAAUUGCAUGUGCUUCUAUUAAGUAACAACUCCAUUGGUGGGACCUUUCCAAUUUCUUUAACAAAUCUCUCUCAGUUACAAGUCCUUGACAUAUCUGACAAUUUUCUUACUGGUUCUCUCCCAUAUAACUUCCAUCAAUUAACCAAAUUGCAUGUGCUUCUAUUAAGUAACAACUCCAUUGGUGGGACCUUUCCAAUUUCUUUAACAAAUCUCUCUCAGUUACAAGCCCUUGACAUUUCCGACAAUUUACUCCUUGGUACCCUUCCUUCUAAAAUGGCCCUUUCUUCUACUAAAAUGGCCCUUUCUUCUAAACAAUUUUUAUG